GUGCAGUGGCGUGAUCGCGGCUCACUGCAACCUCCGCCUCCUGGGUUGAAGCGAUUCUCCUGCGUCAGCCUACCGAAUGGAGACUCUCUAUUUCUAAGAGCACGGAGGUGAAGCCUGUGUUCCUGGUCUGAGGGGCUAGAGUGUGAAAACCACAAUAAAAGAGCCCCGCCUGGGGAAGAAGACUCUUGAAACUCUGGCCAUCAAGAGGCCAUUCGUUUUCCGGGCCGAGUCUGCCAUCGGGUUUCUAAAAAACGUGGUUGGGCCGUCACACUGAUAAGAUGGCAGGCCAGAUGAAAUAAAGUAUGAAAAGUGCUCUCUGGCAAAGGCUGCUACUCGAUGCAAGAAACCCCAGGACAAGCCACCCUCUGAAGGCACGUGCACAUGUGUUCUCUGAAACUCCUGAUAUGUGACAGCCAGUGUGCCACUGGAUUAAUGUGAAUAAAUGAAU